AUGGAUGAAUAUGGAGGACAGUAUGGCAAUUUAUUAACAGAAAAUAUUUUGAGGAGACUUGUUCACAGACGGCGACCACAGCAACCCCCCUUCCAGCAGGUGCUGUCAGAGGAGAUGGGGGUGACAUCCUCAAUCUGCGCAUUGGAGGGUUUUGAGGACAGGAGUGAGAUUAUCUGGCUUAUACUUAACAGAGUCGCUCUGGUUGCUGUAUGGUGGAGGAGGACAAGGGUAGAAGCAAGAAGUAAAAAACAGCCCUGCAAGACUCACUGAGGCCUGUGCAAGGUGGCCUGCACUAGGGCAUGGUAUCCUGUCCGUGUGGCCUUCUCUAUGGCUCCCCCUGGGCAGAAAGGCUACCAUCACCUUAGAUCUCUAAGAUGGACCAGGGCUACCUUAUCCAGGACAGCAAGCUGAUCAAAACAAUGCCUCCACCGACUAUGACCUGACAAAAGCAUCAACCCUCUGGGUCCACUAUGGUCAAGUGCCCAGUGACUGUGUCAUGCUGAAAGGCUGUGUGGUGGGAACCAAGAAGCAAGUGCUCACCUUCCGCAAGUCCUUGCUGGUGCAGACCAAGCAGGAGGCUCUGGAGAAGACUGACCUUAAGUUCACUGACACCACCUCCAAGUUUGGCCAUGGCCGCUUCCAGACCAUAGAGGAGAAGAGAGCAUUCAUGGGACCACUGAAGAAAGACCGAAUUGCAAAGGAAGAAGGAGCUUAAUGUCAGGAACAGAUUUUGCAG